rnacentral:rRNA from 1 species
UACGGGGGGGGCAAGCGUUGUUCGGAAUUACUGGGCGUAAAGGGCUCGUAGGUGGCCAACUAAGUCAACCGUGAAAUCCCUCGGCUUAACCGGGGAACUGCGUUUGAUACUGGAUGGCUUGAGUUUGGGAGAGGGAUGCGGAAUUCCAGGUGUAGCGGUGAAAUGCGUAGAGAUGUGGAGGAACACCGAUGGCGAAGGCAGCCUCCUGGGCCAGCACUGACGCUCAUGCACGAAAGCGUGGGGAGCAAACAGG